rnacentral:rRNA from 1 species
UCGAGCGAUGAAGCACCUUCGGGUGUGAAUUAGCGGCGAACGGGUGAGGAACACGUGAAGAAUCUGCCUUCAACUCUGGGAUAACUGCGGGAAACUGUAGCUAAUACCGGAUACGACACCUUGGGGCAUCCCGAGGUGUGGAAAGAAUUUCGGUCAAGGAUGAGCUCGCGGCCUAUCAGCUUGUUGGUGAGGUAAAAGCUCACCAAGGCGACGACGGGUAGCCGGCCUGAGAGGGUGACCGGCCACACUGGAACUGAGAUACGGUCCAGACUCC